rnacentral:misc_RNA from 1 species
GAUGAAGAACGUAGCGAAAUGCGAUAAGUAGUGUGAAUUGCAGAAUUCAGUGAAUCAUCGAAUCUUUGAACGCACAUUGCGCCCCUUGGUAUUCCAUGGGGCAUGCCUGUUCGAGCGUCAUUUGUACCUUCAAGCUUUGCUUGGUGUUGGGUGUUUGUCCAUUCUCUUGCAGAGGGACUCGCCUUAAAGUAAUUGGCAGCCAGUGUUUUGGUUUUGAAGCGCAGCACAAGUCGCGAUUCAACGCUAUACGCCAGCUUCCACAAGCCUUUUUCACUUUUGACCUCGGAUCAGGUAGGGAUACCCGCUGAACUUAAGCAUAUCAAUAAGCGGAGGA